UAAAAUACAAUUUUAUUCAUCCACAUCUAUGAUGUUUAUUUUUACUUUUAUGCUUUUUCUGAAAAUGGUAAUCAUAAAAACCAUAAAUAAAUAAUAAUCUUUCCAUCUGCAUAAUAUUUAUUUACACUCCAUUUCUCUAAAAUCAAAAUAUCAAAUCAUUAUCCAGGUUGGUUCUCAAACCCAUUGUAUGUAAUGAUCCCACUCCCUCU
rnacentral:lncRNA from 1 species